AUGGGUUUCCGAGGAUAUGAAAGCAUUUCAUUCCAGUGGUCACGACCUAGACUUUCUGCAUCGUUGCCUACUUGACAUACUCCAAUGACCUCAUUGUGACCUACACGGUCAUAAUCCAUAACAGCUAUCGACAAGUUAAUUUGGUCAAUGUUUUCUGGAGGGACGUCAAAGACUAUGGCUUCAUUGUAAACGGGAUUAAGGGUAUUCCUCUUGGUGGAAGUUUUUCUUUUCUUUAGUCGCCUUCCUU
rnacentral:lncRNA from 1 species